rnacentral:rRNA from 1 species
UACGUAGGUGGCAAGCGUUGUCCGGAUUUAUUGGGUUUAAAGGGUGCGUAGGCGGCUUUGUAAGUCAGUGGUGAAAUACGGUAGCUCAACUAUCGAGGUGCCAUUGAUACUGCGGAGCUUGAGUACAGAUGAGGUAGGCGGAAUUGACGGUGUAGCGGUGAAAUGCUUAGAUAUCGUCAAGAACACCUAUAGCGAAGGCAGCUUACUACACAAUCAUUGACUCUGAGGCACGAAAGCGUGGGGAUCAAACAGG